rnacentral:tRNA from 1 species
GCCUGGCUGGCUCAGUCGGUUGAGCAUCCGACUUCAGCUCAGGUCAUGAUCUCGAGGUUUGUGGGUUCGGGCCCUACGUCGGGCU